rnacentral:rRNA from 1 species
UCCAGACUCCUACGGGAGGCAGCAGUGGGGGAUAUUGCACAAUGGGGGGAACCCUGAUGCAGCGACGCCGCGUGGGUGAAGGAGCGUUUCGGCGCGUAAAGCCCUAUCGGCAGGGAAGAAGGAGGACGGUACCUGACUAAGAAGCCCCGGCUAACUACGUGCCAGCAGCCGCGGUAAUACGGAGGGGGCAAGCGUUAUCCGGAUUUACUGGGUGUAAAGGGGGCGCAGACGGCAGCGCAAGCCAGGAGUGAAAGCCCGGGGCCCAACCCCGGGACUGCUCUUGGAACUGCGCGGCUGGAGUGCAGGAGGGGCAGGCGGAAUUCCUGGUGUAGCGGUGAAAUGCGUAGAUAUCAGGAGGAACACCGGUGGCGAAGGCGGCCUGCUGGACUGCGACUGACGUUGAGGCCCGAAAGCGUGGGGAGCAAACAGGAUUAGAUACCCCGGUAUA